CCUGCCCCUAGAGGCAUUGCAGAUGGAGCUACUGUGUCACAUGUAAUCAGUAGGUGGCAGAGAGGAGAGAGGCUAUGUCUGCACUCAGUGUGCUGAUACGAAUAUCCAGAUGAUUACUAGUCCAAUAUU